rnacentral:rRNA from 1 species
GACGAACCGAGCGAACGUUGUUCGGAAUCACUGGGCUUAAAGGGCGCGUAGGCGGGCUGCCAAGUCUGGGGUGAAAUCCCGCGGCUCAACCGUGGAACUGCCUCAGAUACUGGCGGCCUCGAGGGAGAUAGGGGCGAGCGGAACUAAUGGUGGAGCGGUGAAAUGCGUUGAUAUCAUUAGGAACUCCGGUGGCGAAGGCGGCUCGCUGGAUCUUUUCUGACGCUGAGGCGCGAAAGCUAGGGGGAGCAAACGGG